UCUGUGGGAAGGAAAGGCCAGAAGUGACUCCUGCCGUAGCUGCGGCAGGCCUGGAGGCCGUACUGGGACCUGGCCAAAGACCCAGAAGUCCAGCUUUGAAGAAAACCUGGAGAAAGAGAGAGUCACAAAUCAUCUCCAUACUGCAGGAGAUGCAGAAAUGGCAGAAGGCAUCCCUUGGCUGUGACAGUUUCUUGAUCUUCACUUGAUUUUCAUGGUCUUGACACUUUGAGGACUACUGCUCAGGUUUACAGAUGCCAUUUAUGUCCAGAGCUACUGAGGGUGCCAACAGAUGUCGUUUUGUAAGAAAAGCUCCCCAAAAUUCUGUGCAUCGGACUCAUUUAUGCAAUCUCUGCCUACAUUGGGACCCCACUGAAGCCACGACCCCUAAGGCAGGGCUGGACUGCCUUGCAGUGGGAAACAGCCCAAGUGUCCAUCACUAGAGGAAUGCCUGAGUAUACUGAGGCCAGCCUUACUAUAGAGUCCAAGCAGCAAGUGACAAGGAUGAGGUGGCUCUACAUGUGCACGUGUAGAACUGCCCCCAAGACCUUGUGAAAUGCAAAGAAUAUUGAGUAUCACUUUAGAAUAUAUUAAACAACCUAUCAAGAUUAAUGAGCUUAUUCAGAAAAGAAAAUAAGUCCUGAUCAAUUUCAGCGUGUUUGGACCAGCAGAUUCCAGGUGAUGGAUAGGCAGCUUCAUUUUAAUAGUCUGUUGGUACAGGGUGACCUGUAGCCUUUCCAGAAGAGGUAAAAUGAAUCCUCCGGUUGUCACCCCCUCCUUCCUCGCUCCAAUUCCAUCAUUAAUCCCCGUUUGAGGAUUUGAGUGCUGCCGAGGACUGACAGACUCCAUGAGGUUCAGCUGCUGCCUGGUACAUGUGGUCACCUGCAGCUUCUUCAGCCCUACAUAUAUUUUGUGCUGUUUUAGACUGCUCUUUCUUCCAUUAAAUGAGAGAUUAGAUCUGAAUGGCCACGUGAUCUUCUGAGUCCCAUCUGUAAGAAUCUGCAUUUCCACGGAAUUGGGGGAGCAAACGUUCUCAAAACAUUCUUAAAUGCAAACCCGCAGGCACAGCAUGUGUCUGUCAACUCCAAGAGCAUUUGGAUGUUCGAAGGGAGAGGAUGUUUGACAUCUAACCCGUCGUGGAAAGAGGAGCCUCUACAGUGACAUGAAGGCAAUGGAUUCUCAGCAUUACAAGGCAAGACAGAACUUGAAGGAAGAAGGCUGGGAGGAAACCAAUGUUGAAUGAACACUGACUCUGUGCUCAGCCCUGAGCAAGCAGUGGAAUGCCCCUGGGCUGUGAGCCACGAAUUCAAAUCCCAGCUUGUAGAGCUGUUCUGGGGGUUAGAAGUUUGGGGUCCCUCGUUGCUGCACUCGUUCCAGGUUUGGGGCUGGCGCUGCCCUUCUGACCCCUCCCUAAAGUGGACACAGGAGAAGGAGCGGGGAGAAGAGACAGGCGGCCAGGAGACACCCUGUUGAGGGCUCCCUCUGCUUGCAACAGGACCUGCUGAGGUUGCAGCUGAAGUGCUGGUCUUCCCAGAGAAAACAACCCCUCAUUCUCAAAGGAUGAGAGUGAGCCCUGCGGGGCUGCAUGCUCUUGGCCAUGGGAGAUCAACUGUGGUCACAUAGAGUGUAAUCAGUGUGUAUUUAUGGAUCACUCACUACAUGCAAGACCGGGACACAGCCGGGAUUUACUGUGGGGCUGAAAGCAAGUCACUUAAAAAGGUAAAAAUUCAUGUCCUUUUAAUCUACUUUUCAGCAAGGAACAUCACGUCUGAAUGCUCGCGGCCUCUGCCUGCCCCGUGGGAUGGUGCUGGAAAUUAUACUCAUAUUUAGAUAGCAUUCUCUGCAAGUGGCUGCUGUUGUCCUUCCAUCGUCAGCACAGGCAGAUGCUGGGAGUACCCACCUUGGGGUGAGGUGGCAAGAGAGGGCCAGCUUGUAUCCGCCUCGUUGUCGUCCUUCCUUCCUGACUUGACUCUCUCCUCUGUGGCCUUCUCAGGAGUGGGAUGUGGUUGUGAGGAGAAUGUGCACUUUACCCCUCACCAGUCCAGAGAGGGGCACAUAGCCCAAACCUCUCCCCUUCCCAGAAACCUGCAAGUCCCCCUGGGUGCGCCUGUGUGAUGAGGCAGGCUCCGAGAGCCACAGGCUGGUGGGCCACUAGGAAGCAGUAAAGGAAGACAUUUUAUGAUUGUAGCUGGAGAUAAUGAAUUGAAAAGCUGGUCUCUGUUUCUGGAAAUGAUGCCAGGAGGCCCUCAAAAUAAACGCCCACCUGUCCUUCAGGUCUCAACACCUGUUGCUCUUGGGACAGAGAUCCCAGGCCCAAAAUAGGCACAGCUGCUAUGGAUGCUCGUCUUGCCCUCCUGGAGCUGAGACUGGGCCAUGUUUGGAAAUAUGUCUCCCUCCAUCCCCUCCUCCCAUCCUCAUUUGGAGCCUUAGGGCUUUAAGACGUGAGCUCUUUCCUCGCUCCCUCUCCCCAGUCUUUCUUGGGUAUCUCUGCUCCUCCCAUCACCUGUUCCUGGGCAUGGCAUAGGCAGUUGGUAAAUGACAGAUGAAUGAAUACAUGUACAAGGAAACACAGAUCUGAAAUUUCUAGCAGCAAAGUUUGGAGCAGGAAGCUCUGGCUGGCCCUGGGCUUUUUGCUAAGGGUGUUCUGGCUUCGCGUGGCAGCACCCCUCCCCACCGGGCCUUUGCCAGGACGCUCGAUCCUCUCUUCGGGCUUCUGAGCAGUGUGAAUUGCAAACAGCCAUGCCCACUCCCCAGGCCAAGAAAACCAAGUUCAUGGCCAGGAUUGCUCACAAAAAAAAAAAAAAAAAAAGAACCACUUCUGCCUUAUCAUUCUCUCUUUAUUACCGAAAUGCGGAGACAGAAAGUCAACAGAGAAAGAAUUGUUUUCCCCAAGGCCACACAGAUUGCUCCAACACUUGACUUUUCCUGCUAGGAACUCAAUCCAAGAGAUGGGCUUUCUUUUGUUCUCUGACUAUAAAAGGGUGUCACCUUGUCACCAUCUUCUAUCACACAGGACCCCUAUGGGCUUGGUUUGGUUUUGUUCUUUCAUCAUUAUUAUUUGGAAAGUUAUAUUUCCUUUACUGUCCUUGAGGUGUGAGGCUUCACCUCAUCUUGUCUCCAUAUCCCUGAGUCACUAAGGAGUCCUAUGUCAAUGACACCUCUCCAUAUGCUUUACCUAAGCUGCCCCUUCUCUCAGCAAGUUCGCGCCAGGCUUCCCCAUGAAGGCCACCUAAGGGUGUCUAUCGUCCCCCUCCUAAAUCUCCCCAGGACUUUUGAACAAGGGCCAUGUCCAGUUUAAUGUCACACAAAGAAGACUCAUCAAAGCCCAGGAGUUGGGAGUUCUUGCUCCUCACUGCCAUGGAAAGCAUGAAACAUCUGAGAUAAAAAUAAUCUGUGCCAUCCCCUGGCUCCGGAUGGACAGCAGUUGGGGCAUGAGCGCCUCCAGAAUGUCUCAGCAUUGCUGAGGGUAACCGGAUCGCCGCUCAGAUCCAGCAGGCAGCCUCAGAACCUCCCAGCUGCUGUUGUUUUUAGCACCGGGAUUAUUGGUAGGGGUGUAAAUAGACAUCUGUGUUCUGGGUGGCUCGCUCACCCCACAUUCCUAGGCACACUUGUUUUAUUAAAGCUCUCAGCUGUCGGGUGAUCCAGGCGUGGAGAAAUGAAAGGCCGCCCUCACCAGCUGGUGGUGGACUGCAAACUGCAACCAGUUUUCCCCCAUAAGGACAUGUUACUCCUAUUAGAAACUGUGUCCCUCACAUGUCCUUAAGAAGCGGGCCAUCUGCCAAUCAUAAAUCGAGAUCUCAGCCGUUCCAAAUAAAGAAAGAGUCUACCCUCCUUGCUGGCAGUCCUUUUAUAGUUGACAGAUUUUUUUUUUUAAUCUUGUGCUUGGCCAUGUAUUUCUUGUGUAAUUAAAAAAUUAUAAAAGGUAAUAAAAAAUACAAAUCCAAAAAAAAAAAAA
rnacentral:lncRNA from 1 species